rnacentral:rRNA from 1 species
UACGAAGGGGGCUAGCGUUGCUCGGAAUCACUGGGCGUAAAGCGCACGUAGGCGGCUUUCUAAGUCAGGGGUGAAAUCCUGGAGCUCAACUCCAGAACUGCCUUUGAUACUGGAGAGCUCGAGUCCGGAAGAGGUGAGUGGAACUCCGAGUGUAGAGGUGAAAAUUCGUAGAUAUUCGGAAGAACACCAGUGGCGAAGGCGGCUCACUGGUCCGGUACUGACGCUGAUGUGCGAAAGCGUGGGGAGCAAACAGG